UAUAUAUUACACUUGGUUAAAUUAGUAGAGGGUUUUCAUUCAUUGAAUCAAUUACCCCCCAAAAAUGCAAUUUUCAAUUAUUCUGUAAAACCUAUUUUGAACACAACCAUGUGUGGAGUGUUACACCCUGAUUUAUGUAUGUAGUGAUAAUAUAACUGGAAGACAAAGGAAUAGAAGUGCUUUAACAAGCCGGGUGGCGCAUGUACCUAUAGUUCCUGUUUUACACAUGUUCCCUUCACAACUUGUGAAACUAGGGUAAGGUAAGGUAGCAGGUUUAAGAAGAUGAGCAGUACCAUCUCUGUUCUGUUACUGCGUUCAAAUAUCCCGUUUUGCCUGUGUGGUAGCAGUCUCACACGGGUAGUAGAUAAAUUCCAGCAUUCGAUCAGAAAUUGUAGCAAAUGGGUAAUUGAGGUACUUCGUCGCUUUACCUUGGUGCAUUGUACAGGAGAGAAAGAAAUUUUACAUUGUUAAGAAUUUCAGAGAAUUAGAAGACUUGUGGGUACAGUAAGUAUUUCGUUUAUCAGGGAGAUUAAAAGCAUAAAACAAACCGAUGUUGAGAAAGUGUCAUAUGAUGUACUUUUCACAUGGCAGACGACAGGUUUAUGAUUGACAGCUUUGUUGAUCUUUCGACGCCUGACCGCGACUGCAAAGAGCACAUAUCGAUCUAUACAUACAAACUCUUGACGUUUUUCAUACAUUUUUUUUUCUAGAUAGCACUAGAAAAUGAGACUUUUUUUCGGUUUUGCUUCCUAGCUGAAUAAUGGGCAAUAGAAAAGCCAAUGAUAGACACUAUUGCUCUUCGUGUAUAUUAUUAAAAUUUUAUUAUCGUACUCUUCUAUUAUCUCAUUGUAUGUGAAAUUUUGACUUUGUAUUUGCACUGAAACUUAGAUGUUUUGUGAUAUUCACAUUCUGACCUAUUCACGUGCUGUAAACAAUCUAGGAACUUCAUUAGAACAAAAUUUUGAACAUUUUCAACACGAGGAUAUAUAAUAAAAGAAUUAAAAUCAA